AGGACCAGCUCCCUGGAGAUAUUGAUACAUUUUAUCCAGAUAACCUUUAGAUGUUUAUACCUUAAAAGUUACUCAGUUGAAGUUGCUUUCAAAUUAAACACCAAGGCUGCAGUGUUUCUGUUGUGAUUGUGGAGGGAAGUGGAGCCAGUGAGAUUUGUCCAUGUUUUACAAAUCACCAUCUGGCAGGGAUAUGGCAACAUGUGAAAUCUUCACAGGACUCUUGUUUUUCUACUAUCUGCUGGAUAACUAAGGAGAUCACCAGACUGCUGGGAUGCCUGCCAGAUGGUAAGCAGGUGUAGAGUUUCUCCAGUCCUGCUGAGUAAGCAUGUGCUACCCGUAGGAUCAUAAGCAACGUCAACAAACAUCUGCCUUCUUUAAAGUAAAUAUUCUAAGCAGAAUCGGUCCAUUAUGACUGCCAUCCCUUUGCAGUCCUGCAAAGCAAGGCCUUGUAAUGUAAGAGGCAAGAAUGGCUCCAGAGGAACUGCUGAGAACCACUGCGUCAAUCACAUGAACAUUAAAACACAACUUGCUAGUAGUCAUCACUAUAAAAAGUAUUCUCUUGCUCUGUGGAAAAUGGUUUCAAGUAAUUGUUGUGUUGGAAUGGGAGUUUUGUUCUUUUUUAACAGCGUAAUUUGAGAGAGAGAAAAAAAAGAGAAGAUAUGUUCAAGAAACAAACCUAUAUUAAAAUAGUUGAAUCAACUAAUUGUCAACAAAUGGUAUCAUCAUAUUAGCACAGAAAUUAUACAUUAUAGAUUCCUAGGCCCAAGAGGCACACUCAUGCCCUAACAAUACAGUUGGCUAACUGAUGCACAACAACCGUAAGAAAGGGACAAGAAUUUGGCCUGACCUGCCUCAUCAAAGAGAAUCUCCUCUGACUUUGAAAUAUUAUUUUCUUCCAUGCCCUCAAUUGCAGAGCUAAUGAGCACCGAGUGGAAUCAAGUCUGAGAACAGUUUCCCCUUUAGUUCUCUUUCUGGUUUCAGCUAAGCUGAUCUCUAACAGUGUUAGUGGUUUGUGUUAGGGAAUGCUAUGUGAUGUAAGAAGAACUUAGAUAUUUGUGAAAAUGAAACUAACUGGACUACUGGUCCAAUAUCGGUAGCUCUCGGUGUUCCUGUGUGACACAGACUGAUGCAGGAAUGAAUUACUGUAUCUUCAAUUAAGCCAACAAAGACUCAUACCAUUAUUAUAGGUCAGAGGUGUUCAACUGUAGUUUCUCUGUAGGAAAAAGUGGUAGGCAGUAGAAGGGUGGGACCUUCUGACAGCUUUCUAAAGACAUGGUCCUGAAGAGUUAGAGCUUGCCAGUGGGCCACCUGCAGAAAAUUCUACUGCUUAUAUGAAGCAUCACACUAGGUUAUAAGAAAAUAAAUGAACAAAAUACCCAGGUUAGCAAUUCCUUCAAAAAUGUUCUGAGGCUUGGAAACGGAGAGAAUUAUGAGAUGGGAUGCUGCCAAUCUUUGUGGAGUGGCCCUGGGCAAGUUAUUUUGUGUCCGAUCUACUGUUGUUACCGGUGCUACUACUGAUAAUAAAA